rnacentral:rRNA from 1 species
GAUGAACGCUGGCGGCGUGCCUAAUACAUGCCAGUCGAGCGAACAGACGAGGAGCUUGCUCCUUCGACGUUAGCGGCGGACGGGUGAGUAACACGUAGGUAACCUACCUAUAAGACUGGGAUAACUUCGGGAAACCGGAGCUAAUACCGGAUAAUAUUUCGAACCGCAUGGUUCGAUAGUGAAAGAUGGCUUUGCUAUCACUUAUAGAUGGACCUGCGCCGUAUUAGCUAGUUGGUAAGGUAACGGCUUACCAAGGCAACGAUACGUAGCCGACCUGAGAGGGUGAUCGGCCACACUGGAACUGAGACACGGUCCAGACUCCUACGGGAGGCAGCAGUAGGGAAUCUUCCGCAAUGGGCGAAAGCCUGACGGAGCAACGCCGCGUGAGUGAUGAAGGUCUUCGGAUCGUAAAACUCUGUUAUUAGGGAAGAACAAACGUGUAAGUAACUGUGCACGUCUUGGCGGUACCUAAUCAGAAAGCCACGGCUAACUACGU